rnacentral:piRNA from 1 species
UAUGAGAAUCAAAGAUGGGACCUUGC